rnacentral:rRNA from 1 species
UCUUUUAAGACCUAGUAAUAGGUAUGCUUUAGGAGGGGCUUGCGCCAUAUUAGUUAGUUGGUAGGGUAAUGGCCUACCAAGACGAUGAUGUGUAGCUGGACUGAGAGGUUGAACAGCCACAUUGGGACUGAGACACGGCCCAAACUCCUACGGGAGGCAGCAGUAGGGAAUUUUCGGCAAUGGAGGAAACUCUGACCGAGCAACGCCGCGUGAAUGACGAAGUACUUCGGUAUGUAAAGUUCUUUUAUCAAGGAAGAAAAGCAAAUGGCGAACCAUUUGUUUGCCGGUACUUGAUGAAUAAGCCCCGGCUAAUUAUGUGCCAGCAGCCGCGGUAAGACAUAAGGGGCAAGUGUUAUCCGGAAUUAUUGGGCGUAAAGGGUGCGUAGGCGGUCUAGUAAGUCAGUGGUGUAAUGGCAACGCUUAACGUUGUCCGGCUAUUGAAACUGCUAAACUUGAGUUAGAUAGAGGCGAGUGGAAUUCCAUGUGUAGCGGUAAAAUGCGUAAAUAUAUGGAGGAACACCAGAGGCGUAGGCGGCUCGCUGGGUCUUAACUGACGCUGAGGCACGAAAGCGUGGGGAGCAAACAGGAUUAGAUACCCUGGUAGUCCACGCCGUAAACGAUGAGUACUAAGUGUCGGGUUAAACCGGUACUGAAGUUAACACAUUAAGUACUCCGCCUGAGUAGUACGUACGCAAGUAUGAAACUUAAAGGAAUUGACGGGACUCCGCACAAGCGGUGGAUCAUGUUGUUUAAUUCGAAGAUACCCGAAAAACCUUACCAGGUCUUGACAUGUUUUUGCAAAAUGAUAGUAAUAUCGUGGAGGUUACCAGAAACACAGGUGGUGCAUGGUUGUCGUCAGCUCGUGUCGUGAGAUGUUAGGUUAAGUCCUAAAACGAGCGAAACCCUUAUCGUUAGUUGCCAGCACGUUAUGGUGGGGACUUUAACGAGACUGCCAAUGAUAAAUUGGAGGAAGGUGAGGAUCACGUCAAAUCAGCAUGCCCCUUAUGACCUGGGCUACAAACGUGAUACAAUGGCUGUUACAAAGGGUAGCUGAAACGCAAGUUCUUGGCCAAUCCCCAAAAACAGUCCCAGUCCGGAUUGAAGUCUGCAACUCGACUUCAUGAAGUUGGAAUCGCUAGUAAUCGCGAAUCAG